GAAGCCUUAGUUCAGUGGUAGAAUGCAUGAUUCCAGUGACGUGUCAAAACCUCAGGAAUCCAUGUGGUCACAGGUUCAAUCCCUGUAGGCUUCA